GGAAUUUUGGGCAAUGGGCGAAAGCCUGACCCAGCAACGCCGCGUGAAGGAUGAAAUCCUUCGGGAUGUAAACUUCGCAAGAACGGGAAGAAUAAGUAAGAGCUAACAUCUCUUACGAUGACGGUACUGUUUGUAAGCUCCGGCUACCUCCGUGCCAGCAGCCGCGGUAAUACGGAGGGUGCAAGCGUUAAUCGGAAUUACUGGGCGUAAAGCGCACGUAGGCGGUAUGUUAAGUUGGAUGUGAAAGCCCCGGGCUCAACCUGGGAAUUGCAUUCAAAACUGGCAUGCUAGAGUAUGUGAGAGGGGGGUAGAAUUCCAAGUGUAGCGGUGAAAUGCGUAGAGAUUUGGAGGAAUACCAGUGGCGAAGGCGGCCCCCUGGCACAAUACUGACGCUCAGGUGCGAAAGCGUGGGGAGCAAAC
rnacentral:rRNA from 1 species